GGGGCGUGGCUCAGUUGGUAGAGCGAUGCGUUCGCAACGCAUAGAUCGAGGGUUCGAAUCCCUUCGUCUCC
rnacentral:tRNA from 1 species